UACGGGAGGCAGCAGUGGGGAAUAUUGCACAAUGGGCGAAAGCCUGAUGCAGCUAUGCCACGUGUAUGAAGAAGGCCUUAGGGUUGUAAAGUACUUUCAUCGGGGAGGAAAAACAAAACUAAUAAUUUUAUUUCUUGACGUUACCCGAAAAAGAAGCACCGGCUAACUCCGUGCCAGCAGCCGCGGUAAUACGGAGGGUGCUAGCGUUAAUCAGAAUUACUGGGCGUAAAGAGCACGUAGGUGGUUUUUUAAGUCAGAUGUGAAAUCCCUGGGCUUAACCUGGAACUGCAUUUUGAAACUGAAAUACUAGAGUAUCGUAGAGGGAGGUAGAAUUCUAGGUGUAGCGGUGAAAUGCGUAGAUAUCUGGAGGAAUACCUGUGGCGAAAGCGGCCUCCUAAACGAAUACUGACACUGAGGGUGCGAAAGCGUGGGGAGCAAACAGGGAUUAGAUACC
rnacentral:rRNA from 1 species